CAGGCCUAACACAUGCAAGUCGAGCGGGCCCUUCGGGGUCAGCGGCGGACGGGUGAGUAACGCGUGGGAACGUGCCUUCUGGUCUGGAAUAACCCUGGGAAACUAGGGCUAAUACCGGAUACGCCCUUUUGGGGAAAGGUUUACUGCCGGAAGAUCGGCCCGCGUCUGAUUAGCUAGUUGGUGGGGUAACGGCCUACCAAGGCGACGAUCAGUAGCUGGUCUGAGAGGAUGAUCAGCCACACUGGGACUGAGACACGGCCCAGACUCCUACGGGAGGCAGCAGUGGGGAAUAUUGGACAAUGGGCGCAAGCCUGAUCCAGCCAUGCCGCGUGAGUGAUGAAGGCCCUAGGGUUGUAAAGCUCUUUUACCCGGGAUGAUAAUGACAGUACCGGGAGAAUAAGCUCCGGCUAACUCCGUGCCAGCAGCCGCGGUAAU
rnacentral:rRNA from 1 species